GCGUUGGUGGUGUAGUGGUCACUCAGCAUUGCUGCUUACCAAGCAGUUGACCUGGGUUUGAUUCCCAGCCAUCGCA